GAGCAAGAAAAGAUGUAGGGAAACGGGUUAGUACAGACAGUACGUACAAUACAAAGGACAGCAAUCUGAUGAUGGCCUACCCCGGACGACGCUGGGUCAAUUGUGCGCCGCCCUAUGGGACUCCCAAUCACGACCGGAUGUGAUACAGCCUGGAUUUGAACCUGCGUUAGAAGUUCAAAACGAUAUUGGAGCCAGGCCCUGAACACGACAAUACCUCUACUGUGACCCAUCUAGCUCUACACAGAGAUGGAUGGCUCCAGGAUUAGGCCCUGAUAUGGCCUAAUGGGAAUGGGAAUCCAAAAAGGACGCCAGGUCUCAGACACAUCCAUCUGUUAUUGUGCAGGAGUUUGGCGUGGCUUUUGUCUAUUUUCAGAAACUGCUCUGUACUCCAGUACUUUCACUCUCUCACUUUUGUACUUUUCAGCGACCAUGUGCUCUCUCUCUCUCUCUCUCUCUCUCUCUCUCUCUCUCUCUCUCUCUCUCUC